CCCCGGCGCGGCUGCAUCGACGGGUGAAACCGUAGCACGGCGCUUCAGGGAAGUCGCCUCCAUCUCCCCCCAAUCACGUCUCCAUCUCUCCUCCUAUCUCUGCCUCCAUCUCUCCCCCAAUCCGUGCUUCUAGCUCCGGAUCUUCCUCCUUUGCCGGUCUUCCCACUAGCUGGAGCAGGGAGAGUUAGAGGGAACCAGGGCGCCAUAGAUGAGGAGGUGGAGCUCGACGUGGAGGAACUCGCGGGGAAACUGCAGGCAAGGAUCAGCUUCCAUCCCCAUCCUCUCGGCUGGCGGCUGGUGGCCGUCCUGGCUCUUCUUCUCCAUCAUGACACCUCGUCCCGUAUGGGGACAGAAGGACGGCAUCGACGGAGUCGUUCAUAUCGCCAUCGCCAAACGCUAGGGUGAAACCUAAGACCUAAGAUAUGUUGAGAUGGACGAGGUCGCGGAGCCAAGGAGAGGUGUUGCGGACUCACCGCGAGCUUGCAGGUGGACAAGGCAGAAGAUGUCGAAGUUCUGGAAGUGGUUGACGUUGCAGCCACGGGUAUUGCGGUGAUCAGCAACAGGGCAUCUCACCACAUCUAGAUAACAAUCUCCAGGACAUUGUAUGAAUGGAAGAAUGUGCAGAACAGUGACAACUCAUUCUUCUCUUACCUAUAUAUGUGAGGGAAGCAUCGGCAAAAUCAUGAGGAGUGUAGAAGAUUGUUGUUGCACCACAGAAGGAUGAGGAUCCAAGGCAAUUUAACAUUUACCUAAUCACAAGAGGAGUGUAGACUGCUGUUGCCCCAAAGAAGGAUGAGGAUGUUGUAACCAAGGUAUACCGCCUGCUUUCCAAUGACAGAUCGCUUACAUGAGUAAGGUGCAGAUUGAUCUGAAUCAAGAAGUAACUGUUCAUGGGUGAAGGGUGGGAAUGAUAAGAUGGUAUGUAUCGUUUCUUCGAAGUUGCCUUAAAUUACAGGGAUUAAAUCACGUGGUUAAUAGUUAUAUAUAUGAAUGACAUACCCUGUUUUAUCCUUGAUAGAGAUUUGUUAGCUUUGGAGAUGGGAAUUGUUUUUAACCAAAUCUUAAAACUAGAGAGCUGACAAAAAAUAUCUUUUAUUUAUUUUGUAUUUCUUAUGACCCUUUUCUCUUUACUAUAAUUUAGGAUGGCAUUUGGAUAUUUUUUUUCUGCAGUGCCAUUUAUUUUCUCCUACUUCUCUUACCUUCACUUUCGGUUUUCUAUUUUGUUCAAUGAGAAAACACGCCAGGUCUUACCAGCUAAUUAGCUCAUCUAAGAUAUUGGUCAAGUAAAUGGGAGGAUGCUAAAGAAAAAAUUUAUUUUCUGGGCAAUUUGUGUGUUCACUUAUUCGCUUAGCCCUGGCCUUUGCUCUGUUCAUACAAUGUAGAUGAUUAUAACAACUGGUCAACUGAGAUAGGAUGGACAACUAUUUUAACCAUCCGUUUGGUUAAUAAAGUAGUUUCCUUUAAGGUUCGACUAGCACAUUCGCAGCCUGGACAUGGUCUUACAUUCCAUUCAAUUGAUCCUCCUAAUCCUGGGCAAUUUAUCUAAAGAUUGUAUAAUGUAUUCUAUUACAGUGAUUAACUUGGAGGGUAUUUAUUGUUGGCGUUGCAUAUAUGUGAACUUUUCCUCUUACUAUGUGUUAGCCUGCAUUCCCUUGCUGUCGGAGAAAUAUUUAGGUUCUUUUAUUCAAAAUCACUGGUUCAUGUUGUUAUCACUUCUUUCAGACCGUGUGAGCUGAUCCCUUUUCCUUUAUAUCCACAAAUUAUUUACUUGUCUACAAUUUUAGGUGUCCAGUUAUUAAUCCAUGUUGAGAUAAGAAAAUUUAUCCAGUGUUUCUUGGUAUACCAUAUCAGAUAACUAAUAGAGUAUUGUAGAUAUUGUACAUCCUAUGAUUUUUAUUUGUAUGUUUGUCAGUUAUAAUGAUGGAAAAUCAGUAUGAGGCACUUGGUAUAUUUUUAAUCUAUUGACGUUUCAGUUUUUCAGUUAUACAGUGAACUCAUAUAAGGUUCUUAGAAGAGAGGGUGUGGGAAGAAGAAGAGGCGAUCUCCAGCGACGCGUUGCGCCGCAUCUACGUCCUCCCCCGAACAACCAGGGCAAACAAGCGAGGUGUACAAGAGAUGAGCUUCCGCUGCAAGUUUUUCUUUUCCUCCAACCAUUUAUUUUCUCUUUGCCGUCCAAAGCCUCGCACGGCAACGGCUUCUUUUCCCGUAGUGUGUAUUUCUGUUCAAACUGCAUCUGGUCCCAAAAUUCCCCUCUGUUUGUUUUGUAUGAUAGAUUUUGUAGCCAGGCUCAGAUCCGCUAGACUGUUCCAAUGGAUGAGGUAUGUCACCAUUUUUCUUACUUUCCAUCACAAUCUUAAUAAUGAAUAAAUCCGUCCUACUAUUGAUUAAAUAGGAUUAGAAAUGUAGUAGACCAUGCUACUAUCUUGAGACCAGCGAGCUGAGACCAGCGAGCUGCAAGCAGUAGCUUCAGUUUGUGGCUAUGAUAGUGGUGCACAGUGUGAGCUUAUUAUAUUACAUGCUAAUUUAGCUAACUUCCUUGCAUACUGUUCAAUUUGAUCUAAGACAGCUCAUGGUACUCCCGCUCAUUGCUUCUUACUAAUCUGUAUAGUUGGGUAAAUUCAUGUUUUAAUUUUGUUCAAUUUGAAUGCAUUAACCUAUAUUUAGAUUUAAUUGCGUUUCCCCGGUGAAUGACAAUCUGAUAGAUCUACUUUCUAGAAUAAUUUAUGGUGCAUGUUGUUAGAAGCAGAAACAAAGAAACAACACCUUCUCUGGGCCCUCUAUACUCUUGUGUAAAUGGAGAAGUCUUGCAUAUCUGGUUCUCUGUCUAAGUUUCAGUAUCCUUGCUUGUGAUGACAUACAGUCUUCUAGAAGCAUGAAAUUGCACUUUUUAGGUAUGUGUUUUCUUUGUUGCUUUUGCCUUCCUGACCCGUAACAACUUGAUGAGCUCUCCUCUGUAUUCUUUCGUGCAAAUCUUUGCAAGAGCAAGUUGAUUUUCCAUGACACCAUCCUCUUGCACAGUUUGAUCCAUUUUAAAUAUGCUUUGUCACUGCUCCUCUGUACAACGUCCUCCAGUUCCUAAAAUUAGCUUUGCGGCUUACUCAUCUUUUUGGAUUUACUUGGAUUUUAAAUAUUUUUGAAUUCAGAGUGUAUCUGAACCCGCAAGAAAUAUGCCCAUGCUUUUGAACCAGCAAGAUGUUAUUAGUGUUGCUUUUGCACCUGAAGCUUGCUCUGUAAUCUGUAGUAAUAAGGCAUUGCCAAAUUUAGCACUGCUUUUACUGUAGAGUUUUUCUUAACCUGGCUAUCAAGUUUCAGUGUGUUUCUGUAAGUAACAAUUAUCAGUAGUAGUACCACUGUGUAAGUCACCAUAUUCUGUUGUAGGAUUAGUGUUCUUAGACCGUCAUUUUAUCCAUGCAUCGGAUCUUGGCUUUAAGCGGUUUCGGUCACAGAGUACUCGAAGCCAAGAUCCGAUGCGGAUAUUUGUGGUGGCCUGAAGAUCCCCGUUGCAAGAAAAACCACGUCCUGUGGAAGUAAAGAAUCCGAUCAAAUCACUGUUUCAAUUCUUUUAGUAGCCUUUCAUAGUUUUAAGAAACUCUUCCAGUUGGAAAAGCAAAUGUUAAGUAAAUGAACUGGGACAGUUUUCUAU